rnacentral:rRNA from 1 species
GUGCCAGCCGCCGCGGUAAGACGGAGGGUGCAAGCGUUGUUCGGGAUCAUUGGGCGUACAGGGUGCGCAGGCGGGGCAGCAAGUCGGAGGUGAAAGCCCGUGGCUCAACCACGGAAGUGCCUUCGAAACUGUUGCUCUUGAGUCCCGGAGAGGUUGCCGGAAUUCGUGGUGUAGCGGUGAAAUGCGUAGAUAUCACGAGGAACACCAGAGGCGAAAGCGGGCAACUGGACGGGUACUGACGCUCAGGCACGAAAGCGCGGGGAGCAAACAGGAUUAGAUACCUGGGUAGUCC